AUUGAACGCUGGCGGCAGGCCUAACACAUGCAAGUCGAGCGGAUGAAGGGAGCUUGCUCCUGGAUUCAGCGGCGGACGGGUGAGUAAUGCCUAGGAAUCUGGCUGGCAGUGGGGGAUAACGUCCGGAAACGGGCGCUAAUACCGCAUACGUCCUGAGGGGGAAAGUGGGGGAUCUUCGGACCUCACGCUAUCAGAUGAGCCUAGGUCGGAUUAGCUAGUUGGUGGGGUAAAGGCCUACCAAGGCGACGAUCCGUAACUGGUCUGAGAGGAUGAUCAGUCACACUGGAACUGAGACACGGUCCAGACUCCUACGGGAGGCAGCAGUGGGGAAUAUUGGACAAUGGGCGAAAGCCUGAUCCAGCCAUGCCGCGUGUGUGAAGAAGGUCUUCGGAUUGUAAAGCACUUUAAGUUGGGAGGAAGGGCAGUAAGUUAAUACCUUGCUGUUUUGACGUUACCAACAGAAUAAGCACCGGCUAACUUCGUG
rnacentral:rRNA from 1 species